ensembl:miRNA
CGGCCCGCUCUGGUCUCCGUCCUCCCUGAGGGAUCCUGUACUGAGCUGCCCCGAGGUCCUUCUUUGAGCCCAGCUCGGGGCAGCUCAGUACAGGAUGCGUCGGGGUGGGAGUCGGCAGGAAGCCAG